GACGAACGCUGGCGGCGUGCUUAACACAUGCAAGUCGAACGGAAAGGCCCUGCUUUUGUGGGGUGCUCGAGUGGCGAACGGGUGAGUAACACGUGAGUAACCUGCCCUUGACUUUGGGAUAACUUCAGGAAACUGGGGCUAAUACCGGAUAGGAGCUCCUGCUGCAUGGUGGGGGUUGGAAAGUUUCGGCGGUUGGGGAUGGACUCGCGGCUUAUCAGCUUGUUGGUGGGGUAGUGGCUUACCAAGGCUUUGACGGGUAGCCGGCCUGAGAGGGUGACCGGCCACAUUGGGACUGAGAUACGACCCAGACUCCUACUGGAGGCAGCAGUGAAGAAUAUUACACAAUGGGCGGAAGCCUGAUGCAGCAACGCCGCGUGCGGGAUGACGGCCUUCGGGUUGUAAACCGCUUUCGCCUGUGACGAAGCGUGAGUGACGGUAAUGGGUAAAGAAGCACCGGCUAACUACGUG
rnacentral:rRNA from 1 species